rnacentral:rRNA from 1 species
AGCAGCCGCGGUAAUUCCAGCUCCAAUAGCGUAUAUUAAAGUUGUUGCAGUUAAAAAGCUCGUAGUUGAAUUUCGGGAUUGACCCAUCGGUCGUGCCUUAAGGGGUGUGAACUGGUGUAGUCAAUUUCUCACCUUCUGGAGAACCGCGAUGUCCUUAAUUGGGUGCCGCGAGGAACCAGGACCUUUACUUUGAAAAAAUUAGAGUGUUUAAAGCAGGCAUUUUUGCUUGAAUACAUUAGCAUGGAAUAAUAAAAUAGGACGGCAUGAUUCUAUUUUGUUGGUUUCUAGGAUCACCGUAAUGAUUAAUAGGGAUAGUUGGGGGCAUUAGUAUUCAAUUGUCAGAGGUGAAAUUCUUGGAUUUAUUGAAGACUAACUACUGCGAAAGCAUUUGCCAAGGAUGUUUUCAUUAAUCAAGAACGAAAGUUAGGGGAUCGAAGACGAUCAGAUACCGUCGUAGUCUUAACCAUAAACUAUGCCGACUAGGAAUCAGACGAUGUUAAUUUUUUAAUGACUCGUUUGGCACCUUACG